UGUAGUUGGUGUAGUUCUUAGUUUUUCUUAUACGAGCGGAUAGAUGGCGCAAUAAUUUGUAUACUACCGCAUCAUUUGCGUUUCUAUGUGUGAACAGCGCAUCUGUACACGUGUCAUUGUGUGAGUUAGUUGCUUUGCUUUGCAGUAAACAUUCGAUGUUUUAGAUAAAAAUGGUCUUCACUUCACAGCAAGAUGUGUUAUUGUUAAUCGUGUAAACACUAGCAGAAGUAGUGACUGCAAAUUUUAUAGAUUUCCAAAAGUAGUGUGGAAACAAGAACAGCGCAAUAAAUGGAUAAUUGCCGUAAGGACAAAAAAUCCCGAUGGAUCUCUAUGGCACCCAAUUUGCAGUGCUCACUUUAUCGGUGGUAGAAAGGCUGAUGAACAAGUCAGUCCCAGUUAUGUUCCAAGGAUAUUUCCCCCGCAGUAAAAAACAAAACGGAUUGACGAAAAUGCGGCAAUAUCGAGGUUUCAACGUUAUAUGGAACGAAGAAAC